rnacentral:rRNA from 1 species
CGGGUAGCCGGCCUGAGAGGGCGACCGGCCACACUGGGACUGAGACACGGCCCAGACUCCUACGGGAGGCAGCAGUGGGGAAUAUUGCACAAUGGGCGAAAGCCUGAUGCAGCGACGCCGCGUGAGGGAUGACGGCCUUCGGGUUGUAAACCUCUUUCAGCAGGGAAGAAGCGAAAGUGACGGUACCUGCAGAAGAAGCGCCGGCUAACUACGUGCCAGCAGCCGCGGUAAUACGUAGGGCGCAAGCGUUGUCCGGAAUUAUUGGGCGUAAAGAGCUCGUAGGCGGCUUGUCACGUCGGGUGUGAAAGCCCGGGGCUUAACCCCGGGUCUGCAUUCGAUACGGGCUAGCUAGAGUGUGGUAGGGGAGAUCGGAAUUCCUGGUGUAGCGGUGAAAUGCGCAGAUAUCAGGAGGAACACCGGUGGCGAAGGCGGAUCUCUGGGCCAUUACUGACGCUGAGGAGCGAAAGCGUGGGGAGCGAACAGGAUUAGAUACCCUGGUAGUCCACGCCGUAAACGGUGGGAACUAGGUGUUGGCGACAUUCCACGUCGUCGGUGCCGCAGCUAACGCAUUAAGUUCCCCGCCUGGGGAGUACGG